rnacentral:rRNA from 1 species
CCUUAACACGCUGGCGGCGUGCCUAACACAUGCAAGUCGAACGAGAAAGUGGAGCAAUCCAUGAGUACAGUGGCGACCGGGUGAGUAACACGUGACUAACCUACCCUCGAGUGUGGAAUAACCCCGGGAAACCGGGGCUAAUACCGCAUAACAUCGCAAGAUCAAAGCAGCAAUGCGCUUGAGGAGGGGGUCGCGGCUGAUUAGCUAGUUGGCGGGGUAACGGCCCACCAAGGCGAAGAUCGGUAUCCGGCCUGAGAGGGCGCACGGACACACUGGAACUGAAACACGGUCCAGACUCCUACGGGAGGCAGCAGUGGGGAAUUUUGCGCAAUGGGGGAAACCCUGACGCAGCAACGCCGCGUGGAGGAUGAAGCCCUUUGGGGCGUAAACUCCUUUCGACCAAGACGAUAAUGACGGUACUGGUGGAAGAAGCACCGGCUAACUCUGUGCCAGCAGCCGCGGUAAUACAGAGGGUGCAAGCGUUGUUCGGAAUUAUUGGGCGUAAAGGGCGCGUAGCGGCGCGGUAAGUCACCUGUGAAACCUCCGGGCUUAACUCGGAGCCUGCAGGCGAAACUUACGUGCUCCAAUGU